AGCAGCCGCGGUAAUUCCAGCUCCAAUAGCGUAUAUUAAAGUUGUUGCAGUUAAAAAGCUCGUAGUUGAAUUUCGGGAUCAAUAUGCCGGUCAUGCCUUGGUGUGCACUGGUAUCUUUGAUUUCUCCCUUCUGACGAACUUUGAUGUCAUUAAUUUGGUGUCAUAGGGAAUCAGGACUGUUACUUUGAAAAAAUUGAGUGUUUAAAGCAAGCUCACGCUUGAAUACAUUAGCAUGGAAUAAUGAAAUAGGACGUUUGAUUCUAUUUUGUUGGUUUCUAGGAUCGACGUAAUGAUUAAUAGGGAUAGUUGGGGGCAUUAGUAUUCAAUUGUCAGAGGUGAAAUUCUUGGAUUUAUUGAAGACUAACUACUGCGAAAGCAUUUGCCAAGGAUGUUUUCAUUAAUCAAGAACGAAAGUUAGAGGAUCGAAGACGAUCAGAUACCGUCGUAGUCUUAACCAUAGAACUAUGCCGACUAGGGAUCGGAUGAUGUUAAUUUUUAAUGUA
rnacentral:rRNA from 1 species